rnacentral:tRNA from 1 species
GGAGGAGUGGCAGAGUGGUUGAAUGCAUCGGUCUUGAAAACCGACGUAGGCGUAAGUCUACCGGGGGUUCGAAUCCCUCCUCCUCCG